UGCGNGNCUAAAUGCAGUCGAGCGGUAAGGCCUUUCGGGGUACACNAGCGGCGAACGGGUGAGUAACACGUGGGUGAUCUGCCCUGCACUUCNGGAUAAGCCUGGGAAACUGGGUCUAAUACCGGAUAUGACCUCCUNUUGCAUGNUGNGUGGUGGAAAGAUUUAUCGGUGCAGGAUGGGCCCGCGGCCUAUCAGCUUGUUGGUGGGGUAAUGGCCUACCAAGGCGACGACGGGUAGCCGACCUGAGAGGGUGACCGGCCACACUGGGACUGAGACACGGCCCAGACUCCUACGGGAGGCAGCAGUGGGGAAUAUUGCACAAUGGGCGAAAGCCUGAUGCAGCGACGCCGCGUGAGGGAUGACGGCCUUCGGGUUGUAAACCUCUUUCAGCAGGGACGAAGCGCAAGUGACGGUACCUGCAGAAGAAGCACCGGCUAACUACGUGCCAGCAGCCGCGGGUAAUACA
rnacentral:rRNA from 1 species